AUCACUGCAGAUUUGGGAUUUCUGUGGGAAAAGCAAGUCUUAUGGCUUGACUGGCGUGCAGAUUUUUGUUUAACAUUGUAUUAACUAUCCACAGACUUCAGGUGGAAGGGGUUUUCAAUCACAAUUUUUCCCCACCAUAACCUAAUUGGAUUUUGCUUCCCAAGCACUACCAAGCCUCAUUAAGCAAACCAGUAACCAACCUCAUGCUGAAGAGUUGCAUUAACAACGAAACAGCUGUCCAUGAGUGGUUCACUGGUUUUGCAUCUUUUCCUAAAUUGUGUUCCAAGCAGUUGUAUGCUGCAAACACAGAUUAAAAUGGAAUGAGGCAAAAAUGUGAUUCUUUGUUAAGCUAAUUUGCAUAUGCCCACCCAGAAUCCUUUGCGGUUGUAACAUCACUGCAGAUUUGGGAUUUCUGUGGCAAAAGCAAGUCUUAUGGCUUGACU
rnacentral:lncRNA from 1 species